rnacentral:rRNA from 1 species
AGAGUUUGAUCCUGGCUCAGGAUAAACGCUGGCGGCGCACAUAAGACAUGCAAGUCGAACGGAAGUCGUUGUAAUGAAAUGGAAAUGGACAGAGAACUUGUUCGAAGAAAGUUGAAGUAGACUUACAACAAUGGCUUUAGUGGCGGACUGGUGAGUAACGCGUAAGGAACCUGCCUUUUAGAGGGGAAUAACAAUGAGAAAUCAUUGCUAAUACCGCAUAUGCCGAGAGAAUCACAUGGUACAAUCGGGAAAGGAGCAAUCCGCUAAAAGAUGGCCUUGCGUCUGAUUAGAUAGUUGGUGGGGUAACGGCCUACCAAGUCGACGAUCAGUAGCCGGACUGAGAGGUUGAACGGCCACAUUGGGACUGAGAUACGGCCCAGACUCCUACGGGAGGCAGCAGUGGGGAAUAUUGCACAAUGGGCGCAAGCCUGAUGCAGCGACGCCGCGUGCGGGAUGACGGCCUUCGGGUUGUAAACCGCUUUUGACUGGGAGCAAGCCCUUCGGGGUGAGUGUACCUUUCGAAUAAGCACCGGCUAACUACGUGCCAGCAGCCGCGGUAAUACGUAGGGUGCAAGCGUUAAUCGGAAUUACUGGGCGUAAAGCGUGCGCAGGCGGUUUUGUAAGAUAGAUGUGAAAUCCCCGGGCUCAACCUGGGAAUUGCAUAUAUGACUGCAAGACUUGAGUUUGUCAGAGGAGGGUGGAAUUCCAAGUGUAGCAGUGAAAUGCGUAGAUAUUUGGAAGAACACCGAUGGCGAAGGCAGCCCUCUGGGACAUGACUGACGCUCAUGCACGAAAGCGUGGGGAGCAAACAGGAUUAGAUACCCUGGUAGUCCACGCCCUAAACGAUGUCUACUAGUUGUUGGGAGAGCAAUCUCUUGGUAACGCAGCUAACGCGUGAAGUAGACCGCCUGGGGAGUACGGUCGCAAGAUUAAAACUCAAAGGAAUUGACGGGGACCCGCACAAGCGGUGGAGCAUGUGGUUUAAUU